rnacentral:rRNA from 1 species
CCUACGGGUGGCAGCAGUGGGGAAUAUUGCGCAAUGGGCGAAAGCCUGACGCAGCGACGCCGCGUGAGGGAUGAAGGUCUUCGGAUCGUAAACCUCUGUCAGCAGGGAAGUACGGUCACUGUGCUAAUCAGCAGUGAAUUGACGGUACCUGCAAAGGAAGCACCGGCUAACUCCGUGCCAGCAGCCGCGGUAAUACGGCGGGUGCGAGCGUUAAUCGGAUUUACUGGGCGUAAAGCGCGCGUAGUCGGUAUGUCAAGUCAAGGGUGAAAGCCCCGCGCCCAACGGGGGAACUGCCUUUGAGACUGGCAGACUGGAGUGUGUGAGAGGGUAGUGGAAUUCGUGGUGUAGGGGUGAAAUCCGUAGAUAUCUGGAGGAACAUCAGGGGCGAAGGCGACUAUCUGGCACAUAACUGACGCUGAGGAGCGAAAGCGUGGGUAGCAAACAGGAUUAGAUACCCGAGUAGUC